GCCGGGGUGGUGGAAUGGCAGACACGGAGCACUCAAAAUGCUUUGCUCGAAAGGGCGUGCGGGUUCAAGUCCCGCUCCCGGCACCA
rnacentral:tRNA from 4 species